AGAGUUUGAUCCUGGCUCAGAACGAACGCUGGCGGCGCGUUUUAAGCAUGCAAGUCGAGCGGCAAGUGCAGCGAUGCACCUAGAGCGGCGGACGGGUGAGUAACACGUGGAUAAUCUGCCCCGCAGUCGGGGAUAGCCUGUGGAAACACAGGAUAAUACCGGAUGAGCUUCCCGGGCCACAAGGCCUGGGAAGGAAAGGAGCCACGGCUCCGCUGAGGGAUGAGUCCGCGGCCCAUUAGCUGGAUGGCGGGGUAAAGGCCCACCAUGGCGAUGAUGGGUAGCCGGCCUGAGAGGGUGGACGGCCACAUUGGAACUGAGACACGGCCCAGACUCCUACGGGAGGCAGCAGUAGGGAAUUUUCGGCAAUGGGGGAAACCCUGACCGAGCAACGCCGCGUGAGUGAUGAAGGUCUUCGGAUUGUAAAGCUCUGUUGUAAGGGAAGAACGGCAUCUAUAGAAUAGGUGAGUGACGGUACCUUACCAGAAAGCUACGGCUAACUACGUGCCAGCAGCCGCGGUAAUACGUAGGUAGCGAGCGUUAUCCGGAAUUAUUGGGCGUAAAGGGUGCGUAGGCGGCCUGUUAAGUUUAUGGUGAAAGCGUGGGGCUCAACCCCAUAAAGCCAUAGAUACUGGCAGGCUAGAGUACUGGAGAGGGUAGUGGAAUUCCAUGUGUAGCGGUAAAAUGCGUAGAUAUAUGGAGGAACACCGGUGGCGAAGGCGGCUACCUAGACAGAGACUGAUGCUGAGGCACGAAAGCGUGGGGAGCAAAUAGGAUUAGAUACCCUAGUAGUCCACGCUGUAAACGAUGAAUGCUAGGUAUCGGGGCGACCCGGUGCCGAAACUAACGCGAAAAGCAUUCCGCCCUGUGGGAGUAUGCACACAAGUGUGAAACAUAAAGGAAUUGACGGGGACCCGCACAAAGCGGUGGAGCAUGUGGUUUAAUUCGAAGCAACGCGAAGAACCUUACCAGGUCUUGACAUCCUUCUGACCGCUCCGUAAUGGGAGCUUUCCUUCGGGACAGAAGAGAACAGGUGGUGCAUGGUUGUCGUCAGCUCGUGUCGUGAGAUGUUGGGUUAAGUCCCGCAACGAGCGCAACCCCUAUCUUCAGUAGCCAGCAGGUUAAGCUGGGCACUCUGGAGAGACUGCCAGGGAUAACCUGGAGGAAGGUGGGGACGACGUCAAAUCAUCAUGCCCCUUAUGAUCUGGGCGACACACGUGCUACAAUGGCGGUCACAAAGUGAGGCAAACCCGCGAGGAGGGAGCAAACCACAAAAAGGCCGUCCCAGUUCGGACUGUAGUCUGCAACCCGACUACACGAAGCUGGAAUAAAUAGUAAUCGCGAAUCAGAAUGUCGCGGUGAAUA
rnacentral:rRNA from 1 species